GUGUUAAAAAAAUUCAGCAUAUAAAAAAAUUCAACUUUUAAAAAUUCAAAUGCAAUAUUUUCAGUGUCCUAAAAAUUCAACUUGCUCAAAUUCGCUGUCUCAAAUUCAACAUCUAAAAAUUCGCUGUACAAAAAUGGCGAGGUUACUUCAGGUCACAGACAUUAGCAAUCGUUGUCAGAUUUCAACACUGAGCUAAUCACAUGACCUAAGCGUCAUAUUGAAGAAAUACCAGCAUCACCGAGGCCAGCGACCACGGAGGCGAACGCAAACCCAACGGAACAUAUGGAUCAUAUUUUUGAUAGACUCCAUGAUCGUUUGGAGCCAUUUCUAUUUCUACAAUUACAGAUGGUCCAAUCAGUUGGCCACAGGUGAAGAAGCAAAGUGAUGACGGUGACGACAACGAUGAUGUCUUGGAAGCAGAAACUGCAGGUGACAGGGUUUCUCCAUCAGUUUCUCAAAGAAGCAUUUUCAGACAAUCUGCACCAGCUCAUGAGAUUUUGGGUUGGCUGGGAGGCUCCAUGGCAGGAACUGAAGCCUGAAGUAGUGCAGUCAACUGGACCAAACCACAUCAGGGCCACUUCAUCCACCUGCAGUGAACGUUUACGCCUUCCAAGCCAUUAUUCUACCUACCAGGCUCUGUAUGCUGACAUGAUGGUGUCUUAAAUCGGUUGGAACUGGCUUUGGUCUUCUUUGAGAACUCAGUGCAUUGGUGUUUCAUUUGUUCAAUAAUUGCAUUUCAAUAUGGCAAUUAAGUAAAAUUACAAAGUCAUUUUAUUAUUAGCUUCUUUUUUUUUACAAAUACUGUUCAUCAUUCACCGCAGUCUUGACAUUAAGUUGUGUUCUUUGAAGUGAUGACUAAGUACCUGAAACGUUUGUCAAGCAUCCCUGUAAAUCUUAAAUGUUAGAGUAACUAUGUUCAGAGUUUCUGAGUCAGCACUGUUUGUACAGGAAAUAUGAAACGGAAACUGUUUUUAUGCAAUAUUUUAUUGAAUAUUCAUCUAUGCUUGAAGUAUUAGAAAAUAAAUGACAUAAGACAAA